GAAAUGCGAUAAUUAAUGUGAAUUGCAGAAUUCAGUGAAUCAUCGAAUCUUUGAACGCACCUUGCGCUCCUUGGUAUUCCUUGGAGCAUGCCUGUUUGAGUAUCAUGAAAUCUUCAAAGUAAAUCUUUUGUUAACUCAAUUGGUUUCUACUUUGGUAUUGGAGGUCUUUGCAGCUUCACACCUGCUCCUCUUUGUUCAUUAGCUGGAUCUCAGUGUUAUGCUUGGUUCCACUCGGCGUGAUAAGUUAUCUAUCGCUGAGGACACUGUAAAAGGUGGCCAAGGUAAAUGCAGAUGAACCGCUUCUAAUAGUCCAUUGACUUGGACAAUACUUUUAUGAUCUGAUCUCAAAUCAGGUAGGACUACACGCUGAACUUAAGC
rnacentral:misc_RNA from 1 species